UGGGGAAUAUUGCACAAUGGAGGGAACUCUGAUGCAGCAACGCCGCGUGCGGGAUGACGGCCUUCGGGUUGUAAACCGCUUUCAGCCAUGACGAAGCUUUUGUGACGGUAGUGGUAGAAGAAGCACCGGCUAACUACGUGCCAGCAGCCGCGGUGAUACGUAGGGUGCGAGCGUUGUCCGGAAUUAUUGGGCGUAAAGAGCUUGUAGGCGGUUUGUCGCGUCGAUAGUGUAAACACGCAGCUUAACUGUGUGCCUGCUGUCGAUACGGGCUGAAGAGAGGAGGGUAGGGGAGAAUGGAAUUCCCGGUGGAGCGGUGGAAUGCGCAGAUAUCGGGAGGAACACCAGUGGCGAAGGCGGUUCUCUGGACCUUUCCUGACGCUGAGAAGCGAAAGCGUGGGUAGAAAACAGG
rnacentral:rRNA from 1 species